UUUGGGGGGGGGAUGUAUGUUCUUAAAGCUGCAUUGUUGGUGAACAGUUUGGAAGUAAACAUUUUACUGUAAGGUCUACAACUGUUUUAUUCGGCGCUUGUCACAAAUACAAUUUGAUUUGAUUUGUCAAGAUUGCAAAAAUAUUACAAGAAAUCUACUGAUGUGAUUGAUGUCAAUAUCUCUCUGUGAAUGAUUGACAGUUAAGUGUGCUCUCCAAUCCCAGCCAACAGAACCGUGGCCAUGGUUUAUUCCGUUUGAUGCUCGAUGACGACGCAAGUUAGCUACUCCCUUUUUAGGUUACUGAUGGAGACAUCAUCAUGAACCAACUUCAAUCAUCUCAGGUCGAGUUGAUACUUCGUAAUGGUAGGGACUAGCUAACUAAACGAAAUACAGACAAGAUAUCACAGGUCAGAUAUCACACGUCAAACAAACAGUGAUGAUAAAUCACUACGGUUGUUAUUUUCUACCUAACUAGCACGUAUGCUACUUUAGCAUACCAGCAGCAACAAGGCAGGUGGGUUGGCUGGCUAGCUGAUGCUAACAACACAAACUUUUUGUACUGAAUCUCAACAUUGUACACAUUAUUCGAGUACACUGAUCAGCGAUUGGCGUUGAAGUAUGAUGUCAUGGUCCACUCCACCAUGACCUGUGCCACAGAGACCAGCAACAUCAGCAACUAUUUUCCUGUUGGAUAAAGUGAGCUGUGACCUGCUUAGAGAGAAUGCUCCUAUUGAGCCUGUGCCACCUGGAAACCUGACUGUGAGUGAUGGCUGUGCUUAAUCCCGGAGAUAGAUGCAAUUACCCACUUCACCUUUUUCUUUAUCAUGAAGAUGGAGCUCGGAUCGCAGGUAGCCUUCCGUCGCUACAUCCACCGUGCAGACAGCAAGCAGAGGACAGAUGCUCUGCAGUUUCCCCCAGAAGGUUGGCGGCGGCUGGGCCUGAAUAACGGCAGCAUCACCUGGAUCACCAUCAGACCGAGUGGCAGGGUGGGACUGAGGAUGGGCGACUCAGGCUUUAUGCCUCCUGAAAAACUUACCCGUACCUGACACUCCACCACCAUUGGCUGACCCCAUGUAACCUGACCUUCUGCUGCCACAUCAUUUGAAGCAAACAUUUCUCCUCUACAAGAUAGUUUUGCCCACGUUGGGAAUCAUUCUUUUGACUAGAGUUUUGUAUGGAAAAACAUUUGAAAUAAUGUACUUUACAGUAUCUUUUCAUUAUAAAUUGAUUUAUUUGAUCAUGCUU